rnacentral:rRNA from 1 species
UACGUAGGGGGCAAGCGUUGUCCGGAUUUAUUGGGCGUAAAGAGCGUGUAGGCGGCUUUACAGGUCCGUUGUGAAAACUCGAGGCUCAACCUCGAGACGCCGGUGGAAACCGUAAAGCUAGAGUCCGGAAGAGGAGAGUGGAAUUCCUGGUGUAGCGGUGAAAUGCGCAGAUAUCAGGAGGAACACCCGUGGCGAAAGCGGCUCUCUGGGCCGAAACUGACGCUGAGGAGCGAAAGCGUGGGGAGCGAACAGG